rnacentral:misc_RNA from 1 species
CUCGGCUGCAAUAUAAAGCGCUGUUUUCCCCAAAUCCACACAUCUAUUGAUGCUAAUGCUAGUUUCCCUCUCGAUAUCCGAUAAAUUCUGAAUCUGUGUCAAGAAUUCCGUCCUCGACUCUCUAGCGUAGCUGGUGUCGAAGCCUAAGGAAUCCAAGGCAUCGUGUAAAACAAAUUUGAGAUUAGUAGUCGGUGGCGAUGCUCCACGGCAGAGCAGACGGCGGCGUGGAGAAGAAGAAGGAGAAGGUGAUUGGACUAGCGAGGCUGUCGGAAUUGGAGGAG